rnacentral:lncRNA from 1 species
AAUUUUUAGCAAAUAAAGGUACGGAAAAGGGAGGUACAUGAAAGAAGUCGAACAAGAAAUUCCAUAAUCCAUACAAGCAAAAUUUGUUAUUGUAAGAGCCUAAAUAUAUUCCCAGUUGAGUCGCCAUGUUGUCUCGCCUUUUUUUCCUUCGCGGAAGAGGGGUUCCACGUUGACAACUCUUUCAAUGGGUAUUAAAAUAGAAGAGUCGUCACCUAACGAUUUUAAGGUGCGUUAGGUUACCUAUUUGCAGAGAGCCGCACGGACAAGUUUGAAA